rnacentral:lncRNA from 1 species
UAGUACUUCUGAGAACUGAAGUUGUCUCACUGCUAUGAAAGCUUAAUGUAAACUGAAAAUAGCUUGACAUUUUGUCUACUGGUAUUUCUUUCCUGUAGCCCUCACAGAUUCCACUUCCACCUGUAUAAUGGGGAGAGCCUGCUUUCCUGUGUGUUGCCCUUUAUACGAGACUAAGGUGUAUGUAAGUCAUUCAGUUAAAGGACCCCACUAACCUAUGGAAUUGGCUGGUGGGCUUCAGGUAAUUGUUAUAUGAUUUAUGAACAUAACUAUUGGAAGUUGACAGAUGUAUUAUUUUUCAUUACAUGAUCAGCAUGUCAUCAAUGGCUCCAUUGGUAGAGCAUGACGCUUGCAACGUCAGGAUUAUGGGCUCGAUACCCGGGACCACCCAAACGUAAAAUGUAUACACUUAUGACUAUGUCCCUGUGGAUAAAGGCGUCUGCUAAAUGGCAUAUAAUAUAUUAUCAAUGAUCAAUAUAUUUAGAUUUCCUGACAGAAACCAGGAGUUCCCUUUGGCCAGAGGAACCCUAAUCACUGACUGUUACAAAGACUUGGGCUUCAUGGGUUUCAUCUACACCCUGGUCACUAAGUCAAUCAAGACUACAAGGAUUCCACCUACAUGAAAGUGUGCCAGCUGGUUGUGAAGGUGGUCGAUGAAGUCCCAGCUGGUGGACACCCUGGCCCUGCAGAUCAGCAAGUCACGGCAAGGAGCCCCUGCUGCCCAAAGUGGGCCUGGGCUGCCUCAUCGUCCUCCUGCAGAACCAAAAUGAGGGCAUUGUUGGCCCAAAAACCUCUGGCCAGAUGUGUGCUGUGACUUCUUUGGUCCCCACCCUCCAGGCCACGGCAUCAGGCCCUUACUCUGCUACCUGGUUCACGCCGUUGUCUCCUCCAGCACUGAUCCUCAGGGACUCGAGACACCUCCCUCCUGCUGAGCCUGAAGCACCCGCUCCCCUCCCUGAGGCACACGGCUGUGGAACAGCUAUUGGGAAUUGUCACCUCGGGACAGGAGGGCUUUGA